AUUUACUUCCAAACAAUGAGAUGGUAACAAUACAACUAUUUGUCUGUGUGCACAUGUUCCAAGGUGGAUGGAAAGAUAGGGCACAUGGAUGUGGCAUAUUCUAAAAAGUUGGAGACAAAAAGCUUAAGGAUAAAGAACACUAAGUAUGCACUGAAAUAUGUUUAUUAAAUUUAUAAAGAUAUACCAUAUAAACUUCUUCAAAG
rnacentral:misc_RNA from 1 species